rnacentral:rRNA from 1 species
GACGAACGCUGGCGGCGUGCCUAAUACAUGCAAGUAGAACGCAGUUGCGAACGGGUGAGUAACGCGUAGGUAACUGCCUAAUAGCGGAGGAUCACUGUAGGAAACGAUAGCGAAUACAGCAUACUGUGAGAUGGACCUGCGUUGUAUUAGCUCGUGGGUGAUGUAAAGGGUCACCAAGGCGACGAUACAUAGCCGACCUUAGAGGGGGAUCUUGCACAGUGGGACUGGUACACGGCCCAGACUCCUGCGGGAGGCAGCAGUAUGGAAUCUUCGUCAAUGGACGGAAGUCUGACCGAGCCACGCCCCGGGAUUUAAGGUGGUUUUCCGAUUCUAAAGCUCUGUUGUUCUGGUAGCGGUAACUAACCAGAAAGGGACGGCUAACUACGUGCCAGCAGCCGCGGUAAUAC